AAGGAAAAUGAAAACUUUUAAUAAUUUGUAUCACAAAAUAUUGCUUUUCCUUACUUACAAUGGACCUCAUUCACCAAUCGUAAACAGACAGCAUUUAGCCACGUGCUAAUAUUGAUAAAACAAUGGGGGAAAAAAACUGUCACGUGACAGCCUUUAUGGAUUAAAUAUUUUGUAUAGAAGAUAUAGAGAAUCACGUGGUUAAAUGUUGUCUGUUUACGAUUGGUGACUGAGAUGGAAGAUUGGGAUUUUUGUUUAUCAUUUGGUUAUUGUCCUAAUGGGCUACUACACGCUGAGAACACAUUUAAACAUCUGUAGUUAUGAACUGAAUAUUGUAAAUGAAACACAUUGAAUAUGAAUUUAAAAAAAAUGAUAAUAAAUAGCAAUAAUAGCAUUUAAAAUAACACUUAAGGAAAACAGAAUCAUUUAACAAGUUCAUUGUGGUCACACUAACCAAUACAUAAUUCACUCUUUUCUUUUUGAUUGUGUGGUUUUGCUUGUAUCUUUCUCUCGCUCUUUGUCUCUAAACACACACACACGCACACACAUGCACACACACAAGCACAUAAAAGCUUUUAUUAACACAUUCUCAACUUUUUUUUUACUUUGUAGAUCAUCUAUCACAUUUAUAUAUAUAUAUAUAUAUAUAUAUA